GAGGUUGAUCUCUGUCUGCUCCACUCUGAUGUUGGUGGGAGUGAUUCACGUGGCUUCAUCUGGCUCGGACCUCUGCCGGAACUGAAGCAUUCUCUCUCACAUGGAGGACAGCUGGACCUCUCUUUCUCUCCACCUCUUUCCCUCUGGCUCCCUUUACACGUUGGCUCAGGAAUCCAGAAAAGGAAAGCUGAUGGUUUGCCAAAAGAAAAUGAAUUCCAAACUCUUGGGUCUGAACUGGGUUCAAGCAUCAGAUCCAGGGGAGCCCGGGGGAGGCUGCUUAGUCAGUCAGGAUGCUUGAAUGUCCUCUGCAGAAGCCAGGUGAGUCCAAGCAAAGUGGGGCACCUCCCCCGCUUUCCUUUCUCGCGUGUGUUCAUGUGUGUGCACAUUUGUGCAUUCUACCACCCACUCUUCUACCCUAGAAACUGAAUAAUAGAGACCAUGUAUAAGUACUUCCUGGGAUCCAGGCUCUGUGCCUAGAUUUAUUUAUUUAUUUAUUUAUUUAUUUUUGAGAUGGAGUCUCACUCCGUGGCCCAGGCUGGAGUACAGUGGAGGGAUCGGCACUCACUGCGACCUCCGCCUCCGAGGUUGAAGCAAUUCUCCUGCUUUAGCCUCCCAAGUAGCUGGGAUUACAGCUGCCUGCCGUCACGCACACCCGGCUAAUUUUGUAUUUUUAGUAGCGACGGGGUUUCUCCAUGUUGGCCUGGUUGGUCUCAAACUCCUGACCUUAAGUGAACUGCACACCUCAGCCUCCCAAAAUGCUGGGAUUAUAGGUGUGAGCCACUGUUCCUGGCCUGUGCCUUGAUUUAUGAUCUAUAUGCUUUAUGUAAAUUCGAGGGUUUUUAUAAUCACCCUUUAAGGGAGGUGCCCCUUCCCCUCUUCCCUCCCUUCUUUCUUUUAUUCUUUCUUUCAUUCAUCAAAUAUUUCUUGGGUGUUUACUAUGUGUCAGGCACUAUUCUAGGGUCUGGUGACACAGUGGUAAACAAGACAAAAGCUUACAUUCUGAUUCGCGUGCAAUUAAGCCAAUGAGUAGGACAGCUUCAAGCAGUAAUCAGUGUUACUUAGAAAAUAAGAGGAAGGUGGCAGACAGCUUGUGCUCUGUUCAAUUGAGAUGAGUGGUCAGGGAAGGCCGGCUGAGCUGAUUGCCGAAUGACAUCAAGGAUUCAGCUGCAAAGAUACAGGAGCUAGCUCUCCUGCGGAAGGAAUAGCAGGGGCAGACCGGGAGCACCUGGGGCACGUGCAGGGGGC
rnacentral:lncRNA from 1 species